rnacentral:misc_RNA from 1 species
UGCUUUUGCUACAGCCCACA